GCGUCGCCGCGUUCUCCUACUGCCUGGCGCCGCACGACGCCGGGAAGAACAGCGCGCUGUUCCUCGGCUCCUCCGCGAAGCUCGCCGGCGGCGGCAAGGCCGCCUCGACGCCGUUCGUCAACAUCUCCGGCAACGGCAAUGACCUGAGCAACUACUACAAGGUCCAACUCGAAGGGCUGAAGGCCGGCGACGCGAUGAUCCCGCUGCCGCCGAGCGGCAGCACCGUCCUGCUCGACACCUUCUCGCCGAUCAGCUUCCUCGUCGACGGCGCUUACCAGGCCGUCAAGAAGGCGGUGACGGUCGCCGUCGGCGCACCGCCGAUGGCGACGCCGGUGGAGCCGUUCGACCUCUGCUUCCCGAAAUCGGGGGCGAGCGGCGCGGCGCCGGACCUCGUGUUCACGUUCCGGGGCGGCGCCGCCAUGACGGUGCCGGCGACGAACUACCUGCUCGACUACAAGAACGGCACGGUGUGCCUCGCCAUGCUGAGCUCGGCGCGGCUGAACUCGACGACGGAGCUGAGCUUGCUGGGAAGCUUGCAGCAGGAGAACAUCCAUUUCCUCUUCGACCUCGACAAGGAGACGCUCUCCUUCGAGCCUGCAGACUGCACUAAACUCUCCUAGCUAAUCAAUGGCUGCUGCUACUUAAUUACUUUCUUCAUAUGUAUGUGUACUUCUGAAUAACGCAGCCUUGCGGCAUGAGCUGCAGCAUGCUCAUGUUGGUGAAAAUAAUACUCCAUUCUUAUUAUUAUUCUGUGGCGAUCUGGCCUACUUCGAUUUCAAUCUCUGUUCCAUGUUUAAUACUUUAAUGGUUCAUCAACCACUGUAGGAAUUAGGAUGCUCUCCUACAGUUUUUCUUUCAAAAAAAAAUGUGGUUCAUCAACCAAGUUUCGUCUUACAGCUUCAGAAACAAACUGCAUGCCUCUUCAGUUAUCUUAGCAAAACACUCUGAAAUUAAAUCAGAACGGUAGCUUCAAGUCGAUCAAUUGUUGGGAGGCAUUGCUAAGAAAUCUAAUUAGUCAAUAGUCAUGGAUUACGAGUUACGACGACUGAACUGAUAUACCAAAUUAAUCACCAAAUAUGACAAGUGGAACUCUAAAACAGCAACAUUUAUGCUUAAUCCACCUUGCAUUUCUGGAUCACGUGCUGGAGACGACUUUUUCCACCAGAAGCCGCUUCACACGUACUACCACACUCGCACUAACUAACCACGUAUUCGCUCCAUUAAAAAUAAACAAACUUCGCUAAAAUGUGAUAAAUUCUGAUAGUACGAAUCUAGAUAGGUUCUUAAGUACUACGAAUUUAAACAUACUAAAUUCAUAAUAAUGUUAUAAUGUAUCACAUCUUGUACUAUAUUUAUUAAUUUUAGACUGAAUGGGGUAGUAGAUGAAGUAGACUAGACCAAACAUGAAGCCAGCAGAUCAGGGUAAAUGUGGUAACCGCAAGUCCAAAGAAAAUAAAUCCUCUAACUUACUAUUCUAUGUAUAUCCACAGCUCAUGUUUCCAUGGCUGCUCUUAUCCUUUUUAGUUUUUUAGGGGGGGGGGGAGGGGGCGUUACCGUGGUAAUCGCCGAAAACCGCGUAAAAUUCACCUCCAAAAAUAUAACAUUUUUCAUUUAACCUGUUCCAAUAAUAUUUAUAAUAAGCUUUUGUCAAAUCUAAAACCUUUUGAAUGGAACACUCUCAUUUUGUCUUUACAAUACUAAUCCAAUAUGUCUAAUACAAUGGCAUGACAAGAAGCCGUUGCUAUAUCUAUCACCCACCGUAGUAUGGUAAAAUUAAAAACUAUUGCCUAGCCAUGGUCAAAGGUACGGUUGGCGACAUGGCUGAAAGGUUUAUUUAAUAAAAAAAUUAUAAAGCUAUAUACAGUUUUUACUAGAGAACGGUUAAACUGAAGAAAAUAUUAUUCAUUCGGAUGUAACAACAUCAGUGAUGUCUGAAUGAUACUUAUGUGCAUAAUUGAACCUUUAUAGUGUGAAUGACACCGGUAUUUUUUUUAGAGAAGAAUGACACCGAUAUGGUGCAGUCGUUGUCAAUGGUUUUUGAGAUAGAAUGUCCUAGCUACAUGGUUGAGGCGCGAUCUAUGCGAACAGGUGGUCAGUACUGCUAAAGAAACUUCUACUAUGUAGCCAACCAAAAGUUGCCACGUUACGUGCUCAACACAUAUUCUAUAAAGAUCCAUGCAUGUGACGAAAACACAAAUUGCUAGGUUUCUUUUGGUUAAUUAAAAAGAUCAAACUGAAUUUUAAAUUUUGAGAAGAUAGAUUGAUCCAAUUUUAUUUGUUUUUAUCAAUUUAUCAAUGGUUACAGUAAAAUCCACUCAUGAACGGUUUUUAUUCUCACCAUGAACGGUUUUUAUUCUCACCAUGAACGGUUUUUAUUCUCACUAUCAGAACUAGCAUGGUGGCCCGCGCAAUUUGCGCGGGCUAGCAUCAUUAUAUUUUCUCUCAUAUAAUAGCAUAUAUGUUUUCUCAUUAUAUUAUUUAAAUAUAUUACAAUGACAACAUAAUUUUAAAUUUUGCAAUAACUUUACGAAACUACUAAUGUGUAAUAUUCAUAUUGUAUUUUAUAUACGUGUUAGUUAUUAAUUAUUUUUAAUAUCAAUUUUUUGUUAUUUAUAAAUUAUAUAUUUUCCUAUAUGGACUCUAGUCUCCUCUUCUAAUAGUCCUUAUUUUUUAAUUCCGAAUUUUAACUAUUUCUAAAUUGUAUUUCUAUAUGGACUCUAGUCUACUCUUCUAAUAUUCCUUAUUUUUUAAUUCCGAAUUUCAGCUAUUUCUAAAUUGUAUUUCUGUAUGGACUCUGCUUUUUCUUUUUCUCCGAUUAAUGUGAGAAUUUCUAGGUCAUGAGAGCAAACGUGGAGGCUCCUUUUUAUUCCGAAUUUUAGUUAGUUUUAAAUUCAUAUAUAGACUCUAUACUCUACUUCUAAUAUUCCUUAUUUUUUAAUUCCAAAUUUCUUUUUUUUUCUUAAUUAUAAUUCUAUAUAGACUCUAUACUCUACUUCUAAUAUUCCUUAUUUUUAAUUCUGAAUUUCUAUUAUUUCCUGAUUGUAUUUCUAUAUGGACUCUAUACUCUACUUCUAAUAUUCCUUAUUUUUAAUUACAAAUUUCAGUUAUUUCCUAAUUGUAUUUCCAUAUGGACUCUAGUCUCCUCUUCUAAUAUUCCUUAUUUUUUAAUUCCGAAUUUCAACUAUUUCUAAAUUGUAUUUCUAUAUGGACUCUGCUUUCUCUUUUUCUCCGAUUAAUGUGAGAAUUUCUAGACCAUGAGAACAAAUGUGGAGGCUCAUUUUUCUAUUCCUUUAAUAAUAUAAUAGAUUGUGAACCCAACCCUGCUCCAUGAAGGCUCAAGUGGUUCAUUCAAUUUCACUGUCAUUUCGUGCCCACUAAUCCUCGACGAGUCUCUCUCGCGUACCAAUUAAACGAUGAGGCGUACGUUGACAUCUCUUUAUUCAGUUUUUUUUAUCGGUUAGAUUUAUUCAAUUACUAUGCGACAUUACAGUGUUAGUUAAAAUCAUCUUACUCCUGGUUUAUUGCAUGCAGCCAAUCAUCUGCAGAUAUAAGCUUCCUAUAUAAACCCUACCUCUGGACUUUGAUCAUACUCAUUAGCUCGAGACAUUAGUCGAUCAUCAUAAUGGGAAGGCUAAUCGUAACACUGCUCGUGCUGUGCGCCGCGGCGACGACGUGCGCCGCGGCGCUUCGCGGGCACGACCCCCGGCGAGCCAUGCGCGGCCGCCUCCUCGCCGACGGCGGCGGCGCGGUCGUGCCGUUCCACUGGUCCCCCGAGCUCUACAACGUGGCGAACUUCACCAUCGGCACGCCGCCGCAGGCCGCGUCGGCGUUCAUCGAUCUCACCGGCGAGCUCGUCUGGACGCAGUGCUCGCAGUGCAUCCACUGCUUCAAGCAGGACCUGCCCGUGUUCGUCCCGAACGCGUCGUCCACCUUCAAGCCGGAGCCGUGCGGCACCGACGUCUGCAAGUCCAUCCCGACGCCCAAGUGCGCCAGCGACGUGUGCGCCUACGACGGGGUCACCGGGCUGGGCGGGCACACCGUCGGCAUCGUCGCCACUGACACGUUCGCCAUCGGGACGGCGGCGCCGGCGAGCCUCGGCUUCGGGUGCGUCGUGGCGAGCGACAUCGACACCAUGGGCGGGCCUUCCGGGUUCAUCGGGUUAGGGAGGACGCCGUGGUCGCUCGUCGCGCAGAUGAAGCUCACCAGGUUCUCCUACUGCCUGGCGCCACACGACACCGGGAAGAACAGCCGGCUGUUCCUCGGCGCCUCCGCCAAACUGGCCGGCGGCGGCGCCUGGACGCCGUUCGUCAAGACCUCUCCCAACGAUGGCAUGAGCCAAUAUUAUCCGAUCGAGUUGGAGGAGAUCAAGGCCGGCGACGCGACGAUCACGAUGCCUCGGGGCCGCAACACCGUCCUGGUCCAGACCGCCGUCGUGCGGGUCAGCUUGCUGGUCGACAGCGUGUACCAGGAAUUCAAGAAGGCGGUGAUGGCUUCCGUCGGCGCCGCGCCGACGGCGACGCCGGUGGGGGCGCCCUUCGAGGUCUGCUUCCCGAAGGCGGGGGUCAGCGGCGCGCCGGACCUCGUGUUCACGUUCCAGGCCGGCGCCGCGCUGACGGUGCCGCCGGCGAACUACCUGUUCGACGUUGGGAACGACACGGUUUGCUUGUCGGUGAUGAGCAUCGCGCUGCUGAACAUCACGGCGUUGGACGGGCUGAACAUCCUGGGAAGCUUUCAGCAGGAGAACGUCCAUCUCCUCUUCGACCUCGACAAGGACAUGCUCUCCUUCGAGCCUGCAGACUGCAGCUCACUCUCCUAACUAACAUUGGCUGCAGCCUGUGCAGUUUGUGCGUCAGCUUGGCUGUAUAUGUUUGUGUGGUUGUCAGGUGUGUACAACUCGCAUGUUUAUAGCCAUAAUAACGCAGCUAGCUAGGCAGCAUGCAUGCAUGUGUGCUGCGACAUGCUUUGCUUUGCUCUCCCAGUGUCUACGCAUUUUCCUUCGUGAACCUGCGUGCUUGUGUGUGGCAUCCUAGUGUGAUAUGUUACUUGUUAGUGCAAAUAAUAUAUUCAGUCGUGAUCUGGACUUGAUUUAAUUCCGUCAUUCACUUGAUCAUUCCCAUAUGUAAUGUUUUAUUCUCACGGUCUCCUUCCCCUUAUUAAUGAUGGUAAAAUUAAAAUUAAUUGCUCUAUUAACAUAAGGCUACAACUUAUAGAAACAGAUUGCUCAUUCAGUUAUCCUGCUAAACCACAGUUCCAAAAUUAAAUCAGUUUCCCCAGCUCGCAGCUAAGUAUUAGUUUCUCUUGUUCCUAUGGAGCAAUCGUCAUUACGCAGGCUGCUCAUGAGAUGACAAACCUGCUCCAUUAUAGAUUAAGGUAUACGUUACACUUUGAAUGCAACCCAUUCUGCUCCCGAUUGGAAAUUGUAUUUUGCAAUCUUGCCUUCAUAAAGUCCUUAAUUGGUGUAAAGUUCUGUUAUCUUUAGCUUAUUUUUACUCUACUGACGCCGAUUCCACAUGCACAAGGAUUGGUGGGAAAUACCUCGGAGCGAAUUAAGAUGGUAUUUUGAUGUUCUUCAAAAGAGAAGGUGGAGGGGGGGGGGGGGGUGUUCCGAGCUUAAAAGAGACGAUGGCCGAGGUAGCAGGGACCUAGCAUGGUCACCACCUCGGCCUCUAGAGAGAAGGAGGGCAGUUAAGUUGGCUAGUGUUAGCACUUAACAUCAGGGAAUAUAUAUCGCCGGAGUGGUUAGGAGAUAGGGUGGUAGUGGUGGAUCCUGCAGCGUGAGUGCGGGAGACGGUGGAGGAGAGGCGGGGUAGGGGAAUCAACACUGAAUUUGAGGAAGAGGACUACGGUGGCGCUGCAAAUUUGACAAAGAUAAUGGAGGAGGGUAUAAGGUGUGCAUAUGUGAAUUCAUAGGGUGGGUGUGCUCACAUUUAUAUAAGCGCUUAUGAUUGCCUUUACAUCGUUAAUAAAAAAAUAAUUUCAAGAAAAUUGACGGAAUGGCGUGAACCGAUGCCACGGCAGGGCGACUUCUUCGGCAACCUCACCAGCAGCGAUCACUACAUAUAUGCACAAUCUGAGGAAAACUUUAAGGUUGCACAGACAAAAACCUACCAAACACGAUGGAUCAUACAUAUGCGCUCUUGUUAUUUCUUUUCCUUUUUGACAUCUAUUGUGUAUGUACGUACAUAGAGAGGGAUUAGCUGUUUUUUUAAAUGGGGUUACUUGAGUAGAUUGAAUAGAUCUAAUCUAACUGGUGAAAAUAAUGGAUUUACUGUGUUAGCCAUGUACAUUUAUGGCUAAAUGUUUUGCUUUCCCCUUAUAUUUUGUUCUUAGACUUUCUCUUAUUUAUAGAGCACCACAUGCAUUUUAGAAGAGUUUGUAGGAUUGUAGGAACGCUAUUACUUAUACUCGCAAUAUACUUGUAGUCAACUAUUGUUUUUUGUGGCUUAGUGGCGUCCUCUACUUACCUAUCAUUUGCUGAUGGUUGCUCACUUAGUAUCAUCCUUUAUCUUCGGUGCUUGAUAACAAUCUUGUUGAAUGUUAGUGCACGGAUGCCUUGUAAGCAAUAUGACCUGACAAUUUAUGGAUAGUAGUUUGUAUAUAAACUUAUAUACAUAGGGGUUAGCAGGGAUAUACGAUUGAUAUAUUAUGCUAUUUUUGAUUGACAAAGUAUAUUACAUAUUAAGCAUUUUAGUAUAUAAGAAAUAAAUUUAAGGUUAUAUUCUAAAGUGCUUAUCGGAUUGGCUACUCCCUUGUUUAUCGUGACCACAUUUACUGAAUUUCUAAAUGGUGCAUAUUUUUGCAAAAUAUUUUAUAUAUAAAAAUUUUCUAAAAAACCAAGUAAAUCCAUUUUCAUGUUUUAAUAUUAAUACUUAAUACUUUUUAGAAAUAUAUUAAUACUUAAUUAAACUUUCUCUAAUGACCUGUGUCGUUUCACGUGCCCUGGAUAAGCUCACCCAAUAAGCUAGAUCGAACGAAGUCGAGGAGUGAGAUAAACGACAUCGAUAUGGUGUCAAGAGAAUAUAUUUGAUCUUUAAUUUGCUAAAAAUAUAUGAAUAGAGAAAACACAUAAUACAAGAAGAUAUAUCUGUGAUAAUUUUUAUUUAACAUUUAUGAUAAAUUUAGUAUGUCCUUUUGACGUAUCAAUAUUUUUAUAGUAUAGAGAAUUGGAGUUGUUUUUAUUUUUGAAAAUGCAUGUUCAAUUUAACUAUUACAUAAUCUAUAUUUUAAUUAAUUUAUUUUUUAUGGAUGUUUUAAUGACAUGCGUCUAGUUUGAAUACAACUAAAAAUAACAUAUAUUUUUGCAAUUUAAAGUAUAGUUAAUAUGGGCUUGAAUUAUUAGUUUAGUUUUUCUAUCUAAUCUAAAGGAGAAAACAGAAAAAAAAAGGAUGUGGGAUCUAUGUAUGUACGUACCUUUUUUAAUGAAUACUUACAUAUGGGCUAGGAGCCACAUCAUAGCUUGGUCUUUUUACAGAUAAAUUUAAGAGUUAAUUUCACAUUGCACCAUAUAUUUUGACCAAAUUUUACAAUGGGCAAGGGCCAAACCAACCUUUUCACUUAACACCACAUAUCUUUGCACUAGUUGGCACUUUGGACUAGGGUUGAGCACAUUAAUGAAAGUUGUCAGAGAAAAGCUAGUUCAAAUCAUCAUUUUUAGUUCCAUAGUAUUAAAAUAAAUAUCUUUAGAAAGAAACAGCAAAUCACAAAACAACUUUUUUCAGCAAAUCACACUAAAAUAAUGAUGUGAACAUGUUUAAAAGUGGCACAAAAUGAUCUAUACAUAGGGGCAAAUGAAUAAAAAUAAAAUAGAAAAUAGUUAAUUACCACUCACACUGAAAAGAAGGAAGAAAACAUAAAUGUUUUGCCUUUUAUAAUUAUCCCUGUGUAAUCAUAUGAAAUUUUCUCACAUUCCCUUGAUUUGCUCACCCCUAGUCCAAACUGAAAACUUAUGUAAAGAUGUAUGGUGUUAAGUGAAAACAUUGAUUUAACCCUAGUCCAUUAUGAAAUCUUGGUCAAAAUAUGUGGCCCAAUGUGAAAUUUACUCAAAAUUUAAUCAUGAGAUAGAUUUAAUCGUUAAAAAAAUAGUAAUAUGGGCUUGAAUUAUUAGUUUAGUUUUUCCAUCUAAUCUAAAGAAGGAAAAAGAAAAAAAAAAAGGACGUGAGAUGUAUGUACGUACGUAUUUUUUUUAAUGAAUACUCACAUGGGCCAGGAGCCGCAUCAUAACUUGGUCUUUCUACAGAUAAAUUUAAUCCUAAGAUAUAUCUAAUGGUUAAAAAAAUAGGAAGCUUUUUCCCUAAGAGAUUAUGAAAGAAAAGAGGAGAUGAGGGGAGGACGUACGCACCAGAGAAGAGUGGGGGUACGUAGUACGUACGCACCAGGGUGUAGAGAGGGUGGAUUUUUUUUAAUUAGAUCUAAUGGUUAAAAAUAUUGGACCCACCAAUUUAAAGAAAAAUCAAUGGUUAGGAUUUAGUGUGCCACUUGGCGGUUUAGGAGCGUUUAUAGGAGUGCCACAUGGCGGCUUUGGAGCGUUUCUAGGAUGAUUAAUGGACUUUUAGUAUAUAAUAGAUUAAUUAAGUAUUAACUUUCUUUUAACAGUUUAACUAUUUGAAAACGAGAAACGCCCAGAGGUCUUCCAGCUAGCUCCAUAAGGUGGUGAGCUAGACGAUCUGGGUUUGAAUUCUCACCCCUUCUAAUUAUUUGAUAUUAGAUCCUUCCCUAAUAUUCGUAUUUUACUAUUUGAAAAACAUGCAUGUAAAAAAAAAGAUGAGUUGGGAAACUUAGCUGCCAAACAGAGAAUUGAAUUGGAGAGAUAUUUUUGUCGAGAUGGAAGAGAGAACUUGAGGAGAGAGAUGUGUGGGUGACUAAGAGCAAGAAUAAUAACGAGCUAUAAGCUAACAAUAAAUUUAUACGAAACUAUCGACGUUUGAUGUCGCGAUUCCGGUAUUUGCAUAGUAUGGGGAUCGUUGGUACUAGGAUAUAUGCGAGACUGAGGUAAAAGAGAUGGAUACAUGGAUUUUUAUACAGGUUCGGGCCCCUGAAUCGUCAGGUAAUAACCCUACAUUCUGUUGGCCGAAGCCGGUCGUUGCUCUUAUUCAUCAUAAUCACACCAGUACAAUAUUUGGGGUAGCCUAUCUAACUGUUGUCGACAUGGCGGUCUGAAGUUCUGACUCGUAGUCGAUAACAUGGUAGUCUUCCUCCUCGAAUCUGUGCCUGGCAAGAUCAGAGACAGCGCUAUGUCUCUCCUAACAGUCUCCGGAGACACCGUAGGGGACUGGCCAUGCCUAUCUCUAAAGUCGAUAUCCGGCGUCUUGUCUUGGCGCAUGUUGGCUUGUAUAUUGUGGCUUCUGUUGUUCCGUGUCCCCUCUCCUCCUAGGUGGCCUUGUAUUUAUACCCAUAGGUGUCCCCUUGUCCAAGUAGAACUAGGGAAACCAAUAUGGAUACAAUCCAAAUAGUCCUUGUCGUUUCCAUGUAAAACUCUAUUCAUCAUUCCUUAUGCAGAACUCCUCCUAUAUCUGAAGGUUGUUUCCGUAUAGGACAUGAUAUGUGGUGGGUCCUGCCGAGAUUUAGUCAACUACUAUUAGGUAUGUGGUAUCCAUAACCCUGACAUAAACAGUGAAACAACAAAAAAAUAAAAGAUGUUGGCUCUCAUGUAAAAUCUAACUAACACGUGCUUCAAGACAAAUACUUUAAAUACAUAGGUGAGAGAGAUAGUGAGAAGCAGUGAAACAACAAAAAAAUAAAAGAUGUUGGCUCUCAUGCAAAAUUUAGCUAACACGUGCUUCAAGACAAAAACUUUAAAUACAUAGGUGAGAGAGAUAGUGAGAAGAAAAUAUGGAAACAAUAUUAUAGUUAAUUUAUUAUAUAUAUGUUGGCUUUAAGAUAGGCUAAUAGCGGUUAGUGAACUCUACUACUCCAACGCACUCAACGCAGCAAUGUGGGCCCAACGAAUAGGAACAAAGGGAGAAAGCAUAGGAGAGAGAUUAACAUGAGUAAAAUAAAAUUUUUGAUCGUACUAUUGCAGCUAGCUAUUGUAGUAGUACCUAAGAGACGGUAAAUUAUCUCUAUAUGAUGCGGAUGAAAAUUAUAGCCUGUUGCUUACUCUAUUAUUAAUCUUGCUCUAACCAUCAUUAGAUCGAAUAACAAAGACUCAGAACGCACAAGAGUAUUGUUCAUCAUAUUACCGUAUGUACGUGUUGAAUAGGGAUAGCAGCGCCGGGGGUCUCCAAUCUGGCAGUGGGUCCCACGUGCCAAUAUCUACCUUCUUCUUCCCUUCUCUUUCUCCACAGUCCACAUCUAUCACCUUCCCCAUCCCCACCCACCCGGUGGCCCUCUUCCCAACCAGUGGAUGAGGAGGCGGCGGCUUGAGGCUAGGGGGCGAGUGGAUGGGGAGCUGGCGGCGCCACCGCCGUUUCACGCGAUGAUGGCCGACGCUAGACGACUACGAGCACAUGAGGUGAUGACGGGAUCAACUCCUCGCCGGCCUCCCUCACCGUCGCGUCCUCCCUCCCUUGCUGUCGAUGGUGCACACCGGCUCCGUCGCCCUCGUUGUCGAGUUGCGCUGAUGGCCGACGCUGAAGAAGGAAGGCAACAACGGCCGGCAGAGGUGGCGGCGACUGGCAGGGGAGGCAACAGCCUACCGGCAAACAGCAGGGAGCCACCGAGCCGGCGGACAGCAAUGAACGACGACGGGUACGAGAGAGAGAAGCGUGAAGAAAAGCAGAGGUAGGGGCAAAAGCACAUGGGUCCAUUGUUUUGGGAGGAGGAAUGCAUGUGGGGCCCACCGUUAGCUAGUGACUUUGGCUUGCCAAGUUUAGGCCAGGGGAGAAAGUGUUUUGGACAGUCAGAUGGCGCCAUCUGGUUAAAAAGACUGUUGGCGAUGCUCUAACUCAUAACUUCGGGUCCUCGUGGGUCAACUCUUAUCCCCGCAUGCGCCCCUGCAUUUACUGUCUGCAAAUUGCCACCCCUUGCCGCGUAUGACGACGGCCGGAUCGUGCAUGCUUACGCAUGUGCUACCUGCCGGGAAAUGCCUCGCAUAUACUCCUACGUACCGCGCCGAGUCGUCGCCGACCGAUACGCGUUGUUUACUGCAUGGGUAUAUCAUGAUAGCCUGCGUCUUUUUUUUUGCAUCGAUCAAUCGAUCAUGUGAAACCGUACGUCAUGAACUUCCUCACCCUUUCGUUGGUUAAACUUCCUGCGUAAUGUCAACAACUGAACUUUUUUUUUGUUUUUUUUAGUUGAGGCCGGGGAUCAACAAAGUGAACUUGACUGACAAAUAGUCAUGCUUGAUCUGAUCUGCCAGCUUGAUCAACGAGUUGAAUUGAGUUAACAUCGAUACAGGGCGAUUUUUAGUUAUAUAUACAUACUCCCUCAGUAAAAAAAAAUAAUUAUAGAGAUGAAUAUACAGGUAUAUCUAGAUUAUAUUCAUCCUUAAAAUUAACAUUUUUUCUUGCUGAGGGAGUAUAUUUUGGCGAUGCCAUAUGCUAUAGUACUCCCUUUGUCCAAAUUAUAAGGCACUAUCUUUUUAAAAGAAAAUCAAACUUGGUAACUCUUGAUUAAUAAUCAUACUAACCAGUAUUAUGCAUGUUAAUUAUAUCACUAUAUUCAUAUUUUAAAAGAAUUUUAAUGUGAUGCUAAUUUCAUAUUUGUUGGGAGCAUAACAUGGAAUAAAUUAAUGAUCAAAAUGAGUUAUUAAAGUCUGUUUAAAAAAAUAUAGACCCUAUAAUUUAGGACGGAGGAAGUAUAGAAAUCUGGUAACAUGGCAUUGCAAGAAACCGCUACUGCGCCUGUCACACGUUGUUGACACAAUUAUUUGAAUAGACAAAAUGGUGGUUAUGAGUUUUUGUUUCUUAAAAUCAUGAAUUGUAUGCCUAGGUUUAUUUUUUCGCGAACACGCAAAAGGAUUGCACGUCAAUAUAUUAGAAGAAAAAAAUUAUAGUUACAUGACGCAAUCAGUCAGACCGGCUUAUGUAAAGGGAAGGGGGAAAAAAGCAAAAUAAGAAGCAGGAGCUUAAAAAACUACGGCGGCUAAAUACAAACUCCAAGCAGCGGGAAGGGGCCGAGCCACGUUACACUCCCAACAAGUCCCUAAAAACGGCAACGCCAGCUAAAGACUAUAGAUGGCCCUCCUGAGUGGAUGGACUCCAGAACCACUGAGACCGAAGAGAACACAAAGUCGAAAAACCUAGAGUUCAGUUCCUUCCACAGCUGCCAAGAGACCAGGAGCACCAGGAAGUCGAAGCUAGCGCGGAGAUGCUCAGGUUAGCAGGCCCUGAAGGACGGCCACCAGUCCUAGAACCAGCUGCCACGGGGGAGAGAGGGCAUCCCAGCCAGGAGGCGAUAGCACACAGAGCCAGACCUACUGAGCAAACACAUAGUCGAGGAGGAUGUGGUUCGCCGUCUCAAGAUCCUGAGUGCAAAAAGGGCAGGCCGAGUGACUAUCGAUGCCAUGCUUCUGGAGGAGAUCAGUCGUCCAACAACGCUGUUGGAAUGCAAACCAAAGGAAGAACCUGCAUUUAGCAGGACCCUUUACGUGCCAGAGAAGAUCAGCUCAGGCAAAUGAAUGCUGGCCAUGGAAGAAAGCCUGGUAUGCCGAACGCGCAGAGUAGCGCUGGUCAUACGUCCAACGCCAAAUGAGACGAUUCUCGACACCCGGUGAGAGCUGUACGUGAAGCACCGCAUCCCAAAUAAGGAGAAACUGGGAGAUGACUGGGAUAGUGAGGGCACCGCGGAUGUCAGAGACAUAGGAGUUGUUCGCCAGACCAGAAGCAACCGUGCGUGAACCUGGAAGACGCUGGGGAACAACGAAGAGGAGAUCUGGAGCCAAGGACGCCACCGAGCGGCCAUCGAUCCAUUGGUCGGACCAGAAGAGCAUAGACUCACCAUUUCCCGGCACGAAGAAAGUGGAUGCCGCGAACAUGUCGGAGACGGUCUGCUUGACUGGGGACUUCAGGCCAUCCCAGCAGGGGUGCCCUGAGCGCUGAAGCCAGAGCCAGCGAACACGCAGGGCAAAUCCUGCCAACCUGAGGUCAGGGAUCCCCAACCCACCGCAAGUUUUGGGACGACAGACGUUCGUCUAGGACACCCGACACUGCCCCCAUGAGCCGAGUCCAUACCCGUCCACAAGAAAGCACGACGUUUCUUGUCAAUGGCCUUAAUAACCCAGACUGGAAGGCCGAUCACCAUAGAUACAUGGAUCGGAAUGGAGGAGAGAACCGACUGGACCAGCAUAGAACGGCCAGCUAGAGUGGUAAGUCGUCCCUUCCAAGGCGGAAGUCGAUGGGAGACUUUAUCCACAAGCGUUUGCAAGGCUGGCUUCGGCAACUUGCAAACGGACAACGGAAUGCCGAGGUAGGUGCAAGGGAAAUUAGAAACCGAGCAGGGGAAGUAGAACUGAACCAGCUCUAGGUUCUCAGCCGAGCAACGGAUCAGAGUAAUCGAGCAUUUGGCUCUUGACUAGGUUUAUUAAUUUUUACUAGAGAAUUAAAGGUUCAAAAUGUAAUGUUAUCCUCACCGUUGUAGGUAACUGUAUCGAUCGGUGACGUUUGUGUUUGAAUGGAACUCCUAGCUCCAGUGGCUCAUCCAUUUCACAGUUAUUUCGUGCUCACUUAUUAACGAUUAUUCGAAGUUAACAUCAAUUUAUUCAGUCCUAUGUUCUCGUGGUUCGUCCAUGCAAACCAAUCAUCUGCAGCUACUGUCCCUAUAUAAACCUAGCUAGUACUCAUCAACUUCGAUCACAAUCAAGCAUCAAUUCCUCAUUAGCAUCGCUGGUUGAUACUAAACUAACAGUAGCCAUAAUCAUGGGAAGGCCAGUGGCAACGCUGCUGGUGCUGUGCUUCAUCUCUGUCACGGCGCGCGCCGCCGCGUUCCGCGUGCACGGCCGCCUCCUCGCCGACGCCGCGACGGAGGGAGGCGCCGUCGUGCCCAUCCACUGGACCCAGGCAAUGAACUACGUCGCGAACUUCACCAUCGGCACGCCGCCGCAGCCGGCGUCGGCGGUCAUCGACCUCGCCGGGGAGCUCGUCUGGACGCAGUGCAAGCAGUGCAGCCGCUGCUUCGAGCAGGACACGCCCCUGUUCGACCCGACCGCGUCGAACACCUACCGGGCGGAGCCGUGCGGCACCCCGCUCUGCGAGUCCAUCCCGAGCGACAGCCGCAACUGCUCCGGCAACGUGUGCGCGUACCAGGCGUCCACCAAUGCCGGGGACACCGGCGGCAAGGUCGGCACCGACACCUUCGCCGUCGGGACGGCCAAGGCGAGCCUCGCGUUCGGGUGCGUCGUGGCGAGCGACAUCGACACCAUGGGCGGGCCUUCCGGGAUCGUCGGGCUAGGGAGGACGCCGUGGUCGCUCGUCACCCAGACGGGCGUCGCCGCGUUCUCCUACUGCCUGGCGCCGCACGACGCCGGGAGGAACAGCGCGCUGUUCCUCGGCUCCUCCGCGAAGCUCGCCGGCGGCGGCAAGGCCGCCUCGACGCCGUUCGUCAACAUCUCCGGCAACGGCAAUGACCUGAGCAACUACUACAAGGUCCAACUCGAAGGGCUGAAAGCCGGCGACGCGAUGAUCCCGCUGCCGCCGAGCGGCAGCACCGUCCUGCUCGACACCUUCUCGCCGAUCAGCUUCCUCGUCGACGGCGCCUACCAGGCCGUCAAGAAGGCGGUGACGGCCGCCGUCGGCGCACCGCCGAUGGCGACGCCGGUGGAGCCGUUCGACCUCUGCUUCCCGAAAUCGGGGGCGAGCGGCGCGGC
rnacentral:lncRNA from 1 species